AAGGUAUGAUGAAGCGAGAAAUGAGCUUGAUUACCGUAGAGACUGUUCAGCUCCGACUCUUACCUUCCAAAGGAC